GGCUCGGGCUCCCUCCAGGUCGCCCCGGAGCUCCCGCAAACCCACCCUGACCUCCUUCCUGCAGCUCGCCGCCCGGCCUCCCUCCCUGCCCAUCCAAAGGGAACGAACCCCCGGAGUUUGCUUCCCCGGCUGCUGCAGAGUAACUAGAUGGUAAAUUACGGUGAUUGCCCACACCGUGCAGGAAUGUUUUUUUAAAAAAAUAUAUGUUUGCCCUCCACUUCCAGGAGAGAUCAAAUGAAAUGGCAGGAGGGGAAGGAGCAAGGAGAGUGCGCUAGCUCCAGAUCGCGAUGGACCUCGCGUCUAUAAAUACGCAUUCGUGGUGGGUCAAGUCCCCUUUGUCAACUUCCCCGCGUUGGACCCUCACCCGCUGCCCCGUAGUCGUGCCGUGGGCCCCUUCUUGCCCUCACCCCGGUUUGCACACAGGAGAGCUGCUCCCGAGAGCGCGAGCGGGGCUUUGCGGGUGUGCGCGCGCGGAACCUCCUCGGAGGCGGCCGCCGCCUGCCCAGCGCUGGGGCUGGAGCCGGGAAAGGUUCCGUUUUUAAAGCGACCACCGCCUCCCCGAGCCGGGCUCGCCCGCACUGUAUCCACCUCCUCCUGGGGGGUGGUGCGGGAGGCAAGAAAAGUUUUCAGGCACUCUCCUCUCUGCCUCCGGGGUGGUUGAACUGGUUUUGUUUGGUGUGGGUGAAGCCAAAAAGCCCAGUGCCCAAGAACCAAGGAAUGAUAUGCGGGGAGAAGAAGGCUCCGCGCCGGGUCAGGACUCCUGCGCCACAGGAGUUGGCGCGUGAAGGCGAGAGAGAGACCCCCGAGUUACAUCCCGGCGGAAGGAACUCCGUAGGUAACGCCCAGAAGAAGAGGUGGGCUGAUCUGUCUACCGAUUUGCAUGCUCUCUGGCCUCAUCUCGGCGAUGUCUUUCAGACGCGCAUCCGUGGAGGGAGCCACGUCCCUGAGCACUCCCAGCAUUUCCCAGAGUGCAACACCACCACCGGGGAUCGAUGACCACAGUCUGUUUAUUCUUCUCGCGCCUGGGAGAGCAGGGCACUGAAGCAGCAUGGGAGGGAGGCUUAGGGCUUACCUGUCUGCGCGAUCCCUCCAGACGUCUGGCUGGUUUCUCAAAGGCAGCUCAGCUCCCAAGCAAAUAUAGCUUCUUAAUGCAUGCAACACACACCGAUCACAACGUAUUCACUUAGAAAAGUGAUACAUCCUUUCUCCCACCCUUUGUAGAUUUGUUUCUUCCACCCUUUGUAGGUUGUUGUUUUUUUUUUUUUUUCUGGGGGUGGAUUGCUAAUACCUGAGAUGUUGCACUUGUGUCGAGUGGAAACUUUCUGGGGUGUUUGCUGAUUGAUUAUUUGGUACCUGCUUUCUAAAACAGGCUAAACACCUUUCCUUAGAACAAAAGUGAGAAAUGCAAAUCUUAAUAACUCAAGGCAAAAAUUUCAAAGUGUAAGAACAGUUAUUAUCCACUCCCACAAAAAAAAAAGCUUCCUCUUCUACAAAUAUUUGAUCUUGAUCGCAGAGAGCCCAGUAAUUAAGAGAGCAAUCAAAUAAACGCGGGGCUUUCACGGGCACUCUAAAUUAUCAUCUGCCUAGAAUUUAUAAGCAGGGUAAUCAUUUGCCACUUGGAGGUAGCUCUGGAUAUAGCAUUCUAAAUGUGUACCCUUAAACAAUUUACUGUUUUCUUAAGUAUUUAAUGAGCGAGACCUGUGGGUAAUAAUAUUUAAAUUGCUGGAUCAAUGUGCCCUCAACAACUGUGUGAAAAAAAUUCUCUGUGAAUGUCCAUGAAACACCUUUCCUACAUGUUACUUUUUCUCACAUUUCCUUGAUCAUCGAAGCUUCAAGUCAGAGACUCUUGUGUAAUAAGAAUAUAAGAGUUUAUCAAUAAUUAUACUGUAUCCUUAAGUGUUAGUUUUAUUUUAAAGAGAUCCUGGCACCAUGAAGUGAUUUAUUCUCAUAAGACAUAUGUAGUUGCUUUUUCACAAUUAGUUAUUACUAUGUCUGAUCCAGGUCCUUACAUGAUGUGCAAGAGGCAAAUCAGCCAUACUACCGGAAAAAAAUUUAAAAAAAGUCCUCUCACUACCAAGUAUAUGAAAAUAUAUAUAACAUUUGCCAAAAGAUAUUCUGUUACGGUGAAUUUCCCCUCGAUUUUAGUUUACUUCUCUCAGACCAUACUCAGUGAAAAUAAAGGGACAGAGGGAGUCUUUUACCCAGGGUCUCUGGCCAAUGGGUGACGAAGCUGCCAGCUUGGCCUAACCUCACCAACCAGAGAGGUGCCACCUUCUCAGGGUUUCAGCAUCUACUGCUUCUUCAGUAUACCAGCUUUUGGGACCAGCAGGCUUUGUAUGGGCAGGAGAGGGGAGGCCUGGCAGAGGGAGAGAAGGGGCAAAGUUGCAAGCUGCCUGGUGAGAUAUCAUUAAAACCUGAAUUACACCAACCUCUUUGCUUUUGCUUCUACAGGCAGCGAUACUUCAAGCCAUUAUGGUUAUUGAAACCACAUGCCCUUAAGACUAACUGAUGAUUAUUAUAUAGCAACAGCAUAGCUGAUCAAAAACUUCCAGUGGGAUGUUUGUUUGGGUUGGGCUUUAAAAAACACAAAAACACCCACAAUGGAAGUGGGACUGACAUAUUAAAGAUCAGUGUUUCCAUUU